AGGGAGGCAUGUACGUUGUCCAGCUGACAGACUGGUAUAUAUCUAGUAUAUCACUUCUAGUGCUGGUGGGGACGGAGGUCACUGCCUUGGCUUGGAUAUAUGGUGCCGAUCGUCUCUAUGAUGACAUCGAAGCAAUGAUCGGGUACCGGCCUACUAAAUUAUGGAUGAUAUUGUGGAAGUUCAUCACGCCUGUUUUAUACGCUGCACUGUGGCUGAUCGGCAUCAUAAAUCAUCAGCCAGUCACCUAUGGUUCGACACCCUACCCCACCUGGUCUAUAGGAAUAGGCUGGAUGGUCGCCUUUCUUCCUUUGAUUCCUAUACCAGUAACAAUAUUCCUCAC